UACAGAGACCACAAACGUUAUCCGGAAUCAUUGGGCGUAAAGCGUACCGAUCGGUGGUUUAGAAAGUCAGAGGUGAAAUCUCCGAGCUCAACUCGGAAUCUGUCCUUUGAAACUUCUAGACUAGAGGGGCAAAGAGGAAGCUGGAACGAACGGUGUAGUAGUGAAAUGCGUUGAUAUCGUUCGGAACACCAAUAGCGAAGGCGGGCUUCUGGGUGCCUCCUGACACUGCUAGGACGAAAGCGUGGGGAUCAAGCAGG
rnacentral:rRNA from 1 species